rnacentral:tRNA from 1 species
GCCACGGUGGCACAAUCUGGUACUGCGCAGGAUUGCUAAUCCUGUCCCUCUGGGAUUCCCGGUUCAAAUCCGGGCCGUGGCG